UGAGUAAGCCAGACAGCUGCAUGUACAGUGCCGAAAGGCCGUACAUGAGGAAAGUCCGGGCUCCAUAGGGCAGGGUGCCGGGUAACUCCCGGUGAAGGUGACUUUAAGGAAAGUGCAACAGAGAUAUACCGCCGGUUUUACCGGUAAGGGUGGAAAGGUGAGGUAAGAGCUCACCAGCGGCAUGGCGACUUGCCGGCUAUGUAAACCCCACCUGGAGCAACACCGCAAAGAGGGACAUUUUGGUGGCCCGCCAGUCCCGGGUAGGUGGCUUGAGCUUUGCAGAAAUGCAUAGCCUAGAUAGAUGGCUGUCAAAUACAGAACCCGGCUUACAGGCUUACUCAUAAA
rnacentral:RNase_P_RNA from 1 species